rnacentral:misc_RNA from 1 species
AUGGGCUGUUUAUCGUCUCUGUGCUCGAAAUCUUCUGUUAAAAUAUAAGCAGGUUUGAGUCUUUCGAUUGAUACAGUAACUGGUCUAUCUUUUAUGAUGAUCUUAAAAACUUUGCUGCUUCUUUCUAACACUUCGUGUGGUCCGGUAUAAGCAGGUUGAAGUGCUAUAGGUAGGCGACUAAUCCAAAUCGUUUUUGUAAAG